rnacentral:rRNA from 1 species
GUGCUUAACACAUGCAAGUCGAACGAAGCACUUUGGCGGAUUUCUUCGGAUUGAAGCCGAUUUGACUGAGUGGCGGACGGGUGAGUAACGCGUGGGCAACCUGCCUCAUACAGGGGGAUAACAGUUAGAAAUGACUGCUAAUACCGCAUAAGCGCACGGCAUCGCAUGAUGCAGUGUGAAAAACUCCGGUGGUAUGAGAUGGACCCGCGUUAGAUUAGCCAGUUGGCGGGGUAACGGCCCACCAAAGCGACGAUCUAUAGCCGGCCUGAGAGGGCGACCGGCCACAUUGGGACUGAGACACGGCCCAAACUCCUACGGGAGGCAGCAGUGGGGAAUAUUGCACAAUGGAGGGAACUCUGAUGCAGCGACGCCGCGUGAGCGAAGAAGUAUUUCGGUAUGUAAAGCUCUAUCAGCAGGGAAGAAGAAGGACGGUACCUGACUAAGAAGCCCCGGCUAACUACGUGCCAGCAGCCGCGGUAAUACGUAGGGGGCAAGCGUUAUCCGGAUUUACUGGGUGUAAAGGGGGCGCAGACGGCAAUGCAAGUCUGAAGUGAAAUCCCGCGGCUCAACUGCGGAACUGCUUUGGAAACUGUAUAGCUUGAGUAUCGGAGGGGUAAGCGGAAUUCCUGGUGUAGCGGUGAAAUGCGUAGAUAUCAGGAGGAACACCGGUGGCGAAGGCGGCUUACUGGACGAUAACUGACGUUGAGGCCCGAAGCGUGGGGAGCAAACAGGAUUAGAUACCCUGGUAGUCACGCCGUAAACGAUGAUACUAGGUGUCGGGUACCAAAGUAUUCGGUGCCACCCAA